AGAUUCCAGACACAAGAAGCAAACCCAUGGAAAUAUUCCUGUAUAAUUAUUUGUGUCUGUAACAAAAAUUGUUGUUCAUGGUGGGGCUGUUUUCUUUUCCUUGAGAGGGUGGAGGUGGGGAGGAGAUGACUGUUUCUCACUUCUUCAUCUAAAGAAAAAAAACCUAAAGCGGAUCGUCUUUUACACACUGCUGGCAAUCAGGAAGAAGUGUGUGAGUGGUUGGCUUCAUCCCCUGGCUAGACCAUCUGUUCACAAGAGCCACCUCAAGUACCCUGACCUGCUGUACAAUUAAUGGUUCUUCUGCACAACUUAAUGGCUCUGUCAAAAUAGUAAGAAAACCAUUUCUGUUACCAUAAACUAUGUCUGUAAACGGCCUAUCACCCACCAUAAUAAGUCUUGACG
rnacentral:misc_RNA from 1 species